CUUGGUCAUUUAGAGGAAGUAAAAGUCGUAACAAGGUUUCCGUAGGUGAACCUGCGGAAGGAUCAUUAACAAAUCAUUUGGUGGCUGGAUGGGCAACCAUCCAAGCACUAUAUUAACCCGAACCUGUGCCUUUUAGGCCAGGCUAGGUGUGGGUACACCAAAUCUCCUUUGGGAGAUGCGGUAUACUCGCGGUGAAGACGCAAGUCGGAUCCACAUAGACGCUUGUUUUUGUUUGACAGAUUUCAAUUGUAUCCGAAAUUAAAUGACAACUUUUAACAAUGGAUCUCUUGGCUCUUGCAACGAUGAAGAACGCAGUGAAAUGCGAAAAGUAAUGCGAUUUGCAUGAAUCUGUGAGUCAUCAAGUCUUUGAACGCACCUUGCACCGUAUGAGCAAUUGUACGGUAUACCUGUUUGAGAAUCGUAAAACACCCAUCAACACAACUUUGUGUUGGAAUUGUCGGGAUUAACCCUCGAUUAAAUGCAUUAGGUUUGGAUCAGGCUAGUGGUCUGAGACAUCAUGUGCUAGAGAUACCUCGUGUGUCUUCUCAUGGUGCGUCUCAGGUCCAUACAAAAGCUGGCCUGCAAAGGACCUUUAACUGCGCUAAGGGCUCUCACACCCUUAGGCAACCCCCCCUCUUUGAUCUCAAAUCAGGUAAGGCUACCCGCUGAACUUAAGCAUAUCAAUAAGCGGAGGA
rnacentral:rRNA from 1 species